AGUACCGUGAGGAAAGUUGAAAAGAACUUUGAAGAGAGAGUUCAAGAGUACGUGAAACCGUUCAGGGGUAAACCUGAGAAACCCAAAAGAUCGAAUGGGGAGAUUCAUCGUCAGCUCAUUUUGUAUAUGUAUAAGUUAUGAUGUGGGUUACUACUUGUAGUAUUGCCUGUACAUUCUUGUAUGUUUAGUUGCAAGAUGUUGUCGGCGUGCACUUCUCCCCUAGUAGGACGUCGCGACCUGUUGGGUGUCGGUCUACGGCCCAAGUGAUAGACUUUAAUGAAAUUUAAAAAGCAUUGAAGAUCCUUGGUGUUUUCUGACCGACUACUUGGCAGUAUUCGUACGGUAUUUAGCCGCUAAAUUUAUUAAGCGUCCAUAUCCGUCACAAGCGUGGCUAAUUUACUGAUAGUGCGGACCUAGUGCCGUUGUUGGUAUUGGCCAGCUGUUGGUUGUAUGGUAUUCUAGGACUGGCUAAAAUUAAUUACCGGUCGGCGAUGCUACUGCUUUGGGUACUUUCAGGACCCGUCUUGAAACACGGACCAAGGAGUCUAACAUGUGCGCAAGUCAUUGGGAUUUUUUAAAAUUAAACCUAAAGGCGCAAUGAAAGUGAAGGUCGACCUUGCGUCAACCGAGGGAGGAUGAGUUGUAUCAAGAUACAGCUCCGCACUCCCGGGGCGUCUCAUUCUUAUUACAAGAAGAGGCGCACCUAGAGCGUACACGUUGGGACCCGAAGAUG
rnacentral:rRNA from 1 species